rnacentral:lncRNA from 1 species
CACAGUGCACCCUUCCUGGUGUAAAGGGGCACAGCUCCCACUCCUAAGAAGUCCUCGCUCAUGGAGCAGAAGACACUGUUGGGGUGUGACAGGAAGGAGGGCCUGUGGGGCCUGCCACGCCUCCCUCUGUUGCAGAUGAAGAUGCCUUCUAAGAAGUGUGCACACAUCCCUGUCUACACACUGGGUUUUGAGAGUCCUCAGAGGGCACCCGCUGCCAAAACCGCGACGGCGCCAAGGCGAGACGUCUUCCAGUGUGUUCCCUGGCCUGGGUGCUGGUGUCUGUGGUGGUCAGRCUUCUGCAGGGACUUGGGAGCAGGAGCAGGGGUUGGCCUCACYUGUGUGAGGACGCCCCCUGGAGGUGUAGUUCAGAUGGCUCUGGAGGGGUGGGGAGGCAGAGUGGUGAGAUGGAAACUGAGCUGGGGUGGUCCAGUUCCUGUCCAGAGCCCUUCUGGGAUGCUUUUGGCUAGGCAGGUUGCUUCCCCAGGUCUCUGUGGGUUUGUGGUGGUGAAGGGGAGGGGCAGGCAGCAGGAGAGCCUAGGGGACUGCAGGGCCCCYAGGAUGUGUGAGCCCUGCUGGCUCCGCAGCCUGACAGCCCCCUCUGGGUCCCCACCCGCCCAGAUCCCUGCAGGGGCCUCAGUGGCGAAGUGUGGAGGAGGAGUUCCCCCACAUCUACGCCCACGGCUGCACCCUGAAGGAUGUCUGCAGCGACUGCACCAGCUUCGUGGCCCACGUCGUGCGCUCCAGCCGCAAAAGUGUGGAUGUUCUCAACGCCACGCCGCGCCGCAGCCGCCAGACUCAGUCCCUCUACGUCCCCAGCAACAGGACUCUYGACUUCCAGUGAUGGCCCAAGGUGGCCAGGCCUCCGGGAAGGGACCUGGCUCCAGCCUGCUCCAGGCUGAGGCUCUGCUCCCCGUGCUGGGCCCGGCUGCCCGCCGUGCUCCUGAGCUGUGCAUGGACAUAGACAUACCAGAUGCCUUUAUAUAAUAAACACACAGCCUAUAUAUUUAUACA